CCUCUGGUGGUCCAGUGGCUUAGACUCUGUGUUCCCAAUGCAACGGCCCAGGUUCGAUCCCUGGUCAGGGAG
rnacentral:tRNA from 1 species